AUAAUACUUAUUAUAUCAUAGCAUCUAUCUUCAUGCAGACAUGAGUGUAGCUACCACCCUUUAAGAAAGAAGUUGACCAUCAUGGAAAAUCACAAAUAGACUUACUGCUGAUAAAAAUAGAUCAUAGAAAGUCCACCCCCGAAGCAUCCAUCUAAAGCAGAAAAUAUUUAAAUCAAUCCUACAUCAAAGUGAAAAGAAAGACCUUCAUAUUCUUGAGUUGAGUAAAGGAGCAGAUUGAACAGAGGAAAGAGAGAGCCAACCAGAUUCAAGAAGUAAAAUUCAGAAGUCUCAGAAAGCUCCUGAAAUUUAAAACAUUCACAACGCCAGUCUCGAAACUUACAUAAGCAGCACCAGCAACUGGAGAGGGGAAGAUCUCCACCUUCCUGAGCUUCCUGAAAGUCAGUAAAUCAGCUUCAGGGAUUCAACUGUUAUCAACCAUGCUGUCACAGGCUUUGUGUUGUUGGAACUGUGUUUUAGUCAUCCACACUUCUGUAAGUAACCCAUCAUUUAUAGUAGAGUGGUUAACCGCAAUAAACUAAAUGACCUACUAA